rnacentral:lncRNA from 1 species
GAUAUUUCCAAUUGUUUACACUAUAAUGGAAGGAUGCACUUUUGAUGAUUAUUUAAAUGUUGUAUAAAAAGUCAUCCACGUAAUUAAAUUAGCACCAGAAAUUAUAAUAUCAGAUUUUGAAAAAGCCGAGCGAAAGGCAUUACAAACGAUUUUUCCCAGAGCUAAAGUCAUUGGCUGCUUCUUUCAUUAUAGCCUUAAUACAUAAUGCUGAGAAGCACAACAUCCUAAAAGGCGACAAAAAGGAAUCAGAGAGACAUGGUUAAAUGGCUUCAAACCUCGUUCAUUUUGUGUUUUUCAACAGUUACACAGAACGAACAAUAUUUCUGAAAGACACAACCGAGAAUUACGAGAAAGCCUAAAGAAACAUUCAAAAAUAGUUGAAUUUUUAGCUAAUCUAAUUGAACACCAAAAAGACAUUCAAAGUAAACUGAAACAUCCAAACUUCUCGGUGAGAUCAGAG